rnacentral:rRNA from 1 species
CCUACGGGAGGCUGCAGUGAGGAAUAUUGGUCAAUGGCCGCAGGGCUGAACCAGCCAAGUCGCGUGAGGGAUGACGGUCCUAUGGAUUGUAAACCUCUUUUGUCAGGGAGUAAAGGGCGCCACGUGUGGCGCUUUGCGAGUACCUGAAGAAAAAGCAUCGGCUAACUCCGUGCCAGCAGCCGCGGUAAUACGGAGGAUGCGAGCGUUAUCCGGAUUUACUGGGUGUAAAGGGCGUGUAGGCGGGAAAGCAAGUCAGAUGUGAAAACCAUGGGCUCAACCUGUUGCCUGCAUUUGAAACUGUUAUUCUUGAGUACUGGAGAGGCAGACGGAAUUCCUAGUGUAGCGGUGAAAUGCGUAGAUAUUAGGAGGAACACCAGUGGCGAAGGCGGUCUGCUGGACAGCAACUGACGCUGAGGCGCGAAAGCGUGGGGAGCAAACAGGAUUAGAUACCCGGGUAGUC